GAUGAACGCUGGCGGCGUGCCUAAUACAUGCAAGUCGAGCGAACGGACGAGAAGCUUGCUUCUCUGAUGUUAGCGGCGGACGGGUGAGUAACACGUGGAUAACCUACCUAUAAGACUGGGAUAACUUCGGGAAACCGGAGCUAAUACCGGAUAAUAUUUUGAACCGCAUGGUUCAAAAGUGAAAGACGGUCUUGCUGUCACUUAUAGAUGGAUCCGCGCUGCAUUAGCUAGUUGGUAAGGUAACGGCUUACCAAGGCAACGAUGCAUAGCCGACCUGAGAGGGUGAUCGGCCACACUGGAACUGAGACACGGUCCAGACUCCUACGGGAGACAGCAGUAGGGAAUCUUCCGCAAUGGGCGAAAGCCUGACGGAGCAACGCCGCGUGAGUGAUGAAGGUCUUCGGAUCGUAAAACUCUGUUAUUAGGGAAGAACAUAUGUGUAAGUAACUGUGCACAUCUUGACGGUACCUAAUCAGAAAGCCACGGCUAACUACGUG
rnacentral:rRNA from 1 species